rnacentral:lncRNA from 1 species
GCUGUAUGCCGUGUGGCCGCUACCUCGCAGGCUCUCCCGGUCCCUGCUGGCGCGGCAGUGCCGCGCGGUGGGUGAUGGGAGAGCGCGCCCAUUCCCACGCCGCGCCAAGUGCCACGGGAUCAGGCCGAGGCUGGACCCGGAGACGACAGCGAGGGCAGGCUACCAAGCCCUCCCCACAGGGCCGUGCCCAGCCCAAGCCUGCCGAGUCAGCACCCAGAUCCUGGGACAAGAUAGUGUAUGGUCUACUUGGUGAAAGUUCCAUGUGCAACUGAAAAGAAUAUGAAGUGUGAAACGUAUGUGAAGAAUGAUGGUGGGACUCUGGUAUAAUCAUCUUGGAAAAAGUAUUUGUCAUUCUUGUGUUAAACAUAUACCUACCUAUGACCUAGCCAUUUCACUCGUAGAUGUUCAUCCAAGAGAACUGAAAAUGUAUGUCUACACAGAAAGUUUUACAUUAACAUUCAUUGUAGCUUCAUUUGUAAUAGCCAAAAACAACCCACCAGUAGGUGAGUGGAUAAACAAAAUUGGCGUAUCUAUACAAUGGACCACCACUUACCAAAAAAAACAAAAAAGAAAAAAAAAACAGCUCCUGAUACUGGCUUUUUAGAUGUACCUCUUUGUAUUUUAGUGGUUGCUCUAGAAGUUUACAUUGUACAUCUUUAUUAUAACCUACUUACUGUAUAUCUUUAUUAUAACCUACUUACUACCUACACCUUAUAUGUACUACUUCCCAUUAAGUGUAAGAACCUUGCAUCUGUAUAAUUAAUUCCAUUGGCAACCAUGUUUUUGCUAUUGCUGUCAUAUGUUUUUCAUUAAUAUAAACCCAAAUAUACAUUGUUAUAAUUCUUAA